GGCAACAAGUUAUGUCUUUGUUGCCCUAUACAGAUAUAUGUGCAACGAAACAUGGGAUGUGUAGCCCUUUAAUUAUUUUUUUGGGCCACGAAAUAUAACUUGGUUGCCUAUUAUCAUAGUUGGGCCACAAAUAACUUAUUUCGUUGUCUAUUUUUAUUAAAUUAAGCUGAGUGGUAUUUUAUUUGGUUGCCCAAAUCCCACUAAAAAUUUGGCGGACAAAUAUACCGCUUUCAUUGAAAUUCCCCCCAAAAAAAUUCAUAAGAAUAGUGAUGAUCGAAAUAUUUCAGUACUGCUCUACUGCUUAAAGAAUUCACCCUUUACCCACAAUCAAACCAAUUUCCCUUCUCAGCCGUUCAACAAAAAAAAAAAAAAAAUUCCCUUCUCUUUGCUCUGAUCAAAACGAAAGCAGCCAUUGAAGAGCAGUGACGGGCGGUUCAAAUUCAAAGCAAUCAACAGCGGUAACUACGAGUUUAAGGUUGAGGCAUUGACGGCAGAGAGGCCGCAGGUUGGUUACCCAACCUCUCUCGCCGAUUCCACCUUCGAUCUUCAGAGGAAAUUCGUUCAAACCGCCCUUAGUUCCGGUGAUUCCGGCGCUGUUCAAUCCUCUUUCAAUUACAUCACCCCUUCCUCUGCUGUUGCUCAGGAAAAUGUCAAUCAUACCAACAUCAUUGGAGCAAAAUCAACAAGAAAAUGAGAUUCAACAACCACCACCAAGGUUGACUUAUCGUGAGCAGCGAAGGAUUGACCAAGCUGAGCUUGGAAAAAAAUAUCCAGAUCGUAAGAGGCGUGGUCUUACCAGGGGCUUAAAAUAUGCUUCUAAAAGGACAAAAAAUCUAGACGAAAAAAUUAUAAUAACUUUCAUGGAUGAGCUUCGACCUGUGGUUGGUGAAAAGGCAAAUGAGUUCAUAUGUGAUUGUAGCAAUUGGGUCGAAGAGUUUUGUCCUUUAGAUGCAUUAAAUUGGGCUAAAAUGGAUUCUUCUGCAAAGCAAAGUUUGUAUGACAAGAUUUUGGGAAAAUACAAUUUUACAUGAAAAGGUUGGUGGUGCUGACGCGAUUGAUGCAUUGAGCUUUCAAUGCUCUAUCCUAUAUAGGCAUUGGAGGUUUAGACUAAAGGAAAAAUACUAUGGAGGCAAAACUAAGGCAUAGGCUAGAGAAAAUAGACCUCCAACUAUUGAUCCGACACAAUGGGAUUGGUUGGUUUAUGAGUAUUGGAGUUCCCCAAAACAAGCGGCCAUUAGCAAAGUAAACACUGCAAAUAAACUAAAGUUGACUGAAACACCGGCCAAUGGAGCAAAGUCUACAGCACGAAUAUUCUUUGAUCUGCUUAAUGAGCCACCAAAUGUCUCCACUCAAGAUGAAGAGCCAUCCGAACAUGCUGAAGUACAACAACAACAAGAUCCCAUCUACGUGAGAUUAUAUGAGAAGACCAAAAAGCAUAACAAAAAGGAUGGGACUACUACUUGGGAGCCAAAUGCUGAAAAGAACUAUGAAGAACUCAAAAGACUUCAUGAAACUGAAAUUGCAGAAGAUGGCGAGGACACACUCAGUGUAAAAGAUGCUUAUAUGAAAGUGUUAAAACCUAAAUCUGGAUAUGGGAGAGGACUUGGUCUUGGAGCUCGACCACCUGCAAAGUUAGAGCCCAAGGAGAUGAUAUGGAAAGGGUUCAACUUGCUACUCAAGUUCACACACUUAGUGCAUCAAAUAAAGAGCUUAGAGCAUCGAAUGAACAAUUAAAAGCAUCAAAUGAGGAGCUCAAAGCAGAAUUUUCUCGAAUGAAUAAGGAAGCCAUUGAACGUGAAAAGAAACUAAGAGAAGAUAUGCUAAAAAUGUUUUGAGGAAAUGAGGAACAAGGGAGCAUGAUGUUUUUCCUUAACAAAUCGAGGAUGUCCUGUGCAUUUUGGAUAUAAUAGUGGUAUCAUGAAUAUUAGAUAGGGUUUAACUACGAUAAUUUUCCAAUGUAUUUUCCCAAAGGCUUUUUCCUUGUAUUUUGAGAAAUAAUUAAUUUAUAAUAUGAUUGCCAUAUUAAAAUUCUUAAAGUUGUCAUAUUAGUUAUCUUUGAAAUGUAAUUAUACAGGACUAGGGUACAAGUAUUAUUAUUGUGAAGUGAAAACAGGUUGGAGAAAUUCAGUUACAAGAACGAUAGGACAAUAAAAUAAAUAUC